AAAAGAGAUAGAGGUUGCGUUUUUCAUUAGUACUUUCUAGGAGACGACAGGCGUCUGUGAACAGAGAGGAAAGGGGAAUACGCCGAAAGAGGAGGCUUCCUGGGAGCGUCUUGCUUGGGCAUGCAGUGAAGAACUGUAUGACUGUCAUCGACAGAUGGGGAGCUAUCAUUUAU
rfam:Roseburia sp. CAG:100 genomic scaffold, scf105